AUAAUAUUAAAAAAUAUUACACAAUGAUUAUAUAUCUUACACUAUUUUACCAUAUUGCACUAUUUUUGUAGUCUGUUGCAUUAUGGCUUGUUUGGUUUCUUGGAAAAUAGUAAACAAUUAUUUUUAGGGAAAAAAGUUUUCUGUGGAAAAGAUAAUUUUUAAUUUCUGUUGUUUGGUUCGACGGAAAAGAAAAAUAGUUUUCAAUAUAUGGGUGUUUGGAUGAUAAGAAAAAGAAAUAGAAAACACUUUUUAUUUCUAUUUCACUUAUUUGGUUAGUUUAAAAUUUCAGUAUAUAAACACCUUUUGCAAAAAAGGGUAAGAUUACCAACCUUUUAAAAUUUAACAUAAUACUCAUAAACUAUUUAUAAUAUAAAUAAUAAUAAGUAAAUAAAAUAAUUUUAAGUAUAUUUUGGUAUAGGUAAAAUAGUUUUACAAAGGAGAUAGAGAUGAUCGACAUAA
rnacentral:lncRNA from 1 species